GGGGUUGGAAAUCAUCAAGUUAAGUCGUGGUACCUGAAAUGAUCUCAUUAAUACUAGUGUAAGGGCCGAACUUAUACUUCCUUGUGUCUAUGAGUUAUGGCAUUCCUUCUUAAGUGAUGAUGAUACUGCCACAGUAGGGGAGAAGUGUGUCAUUUGAUGCCCUGCUGAAACAUUUAUCACCCAGUGCCAAAGCUUAAUCAAUCAUUUAUAGAAACAUAAACUUGCACAAUGCAGAAACUCACCAUUGAGCCAGACAUGUCCUCCCUUAGUGUUAAAAAGUUAAGAAGCCAAGGUAACUAUAGUCUUCGUGAUGACCUGGCUUAUCAAUCUCUUGUUGCCUGGGUACUAGUGAGCCACUAAUUUCAAUGAGUUUUCCACUCCCCCUGUUGGAAAUGGAAUCCAUCAAACCAUGAUGACAGCUUCUCCUUGCCUGAUGAACAGCAGGUAGUUUCAUGAAGAUAUGUUCAAAUAUGAGAUAUAAUUUUUGUUUCAUUAACAAAAACCUUCUUACUGCUGCUCCAUUAAAAUAAUUAGUAAACUGACCAAGCUGUGGAUCAUGUCUAAUGCUGUUCUUUAUUGUCUCCCAAAACAAAUCUAUGGAAGAAAUGAUCCAUCUCCGAGUACUUAGAGAAUCUCACUCCAUGAUGAACCAUCUGACUGAUGUCAGAGGUCACAGUCAAUGACAAUAAAUUAAUCCUUCCCACAUCAUAGGGUAAAUACAGUUAACGGUUAGCUCCCUGGGGUGCAUGCCUUUUUUGGGAUAAAUAAUAGCUCCAUCCAGGACACAGAGGACCCUCAGUGAUCACACCAUUGCUUAAAUGAAAUGAAAUGCUUGGUAGAGUUGAAUGUCAUCACAAUUUGACCAGUGGGCUUAACUGAGUGUUUAGUCAAAUAUGAUUGCACUUUCCUUUUAUUCAUGUUAUCACUGGCUGAAUUUCCCAUGGGUAGUCCCAAAUAGACAGAGGCAUUUUCUUCUGUUAUACCAGAAAAAGAUUUGUCUCAGAUACAAAAUUGCAUGCAAUUGUUCCUUAUUUUUAGAGAAUAUAUUUGGAAGGACUGCUGCAGGUGAUGUUAAUGUAUCUAAGUCUGUGGCUCUGCUGAGGACAUUGUACCAGGAAACAGCUCUUCCAAAAUAGAUGGGGAUGAGUGGAACAUGAUGAAGGUACAGCCAAGAUGGUGGAGUAAACAUCAGACCACGGCCAGGGACACAGGCACUCCCGGCAUUUGAUGCCUAGAGAGGGACCUGAAAGGAAGGCUUCCCCCGGCAGAGUGGCCCUGGACAGGGUGGGCUGUUUAGCCAACAGCCCUAGAAAAGGCGCUCCAGUCGUCAAGAGAAGAUGGCUAACAAGAACAUGCAGGAGAACUGGUCUGGGUCCCCAAGAGGAACAUUAGCUCCUGUCAGCAUACAGACCAGAGGAAUAGAGACCCUAAGCAUCAAAGGAAAAGCUGGUCGGAGAGACAAACGGAGGAGGAAGGCAAGACCGAGAAGAUGAAGAGCCAAUAAUAAGAUCCUGACUGCCCUUUUUGCAAUGCUGACUGUUGCAGAUGGCUCCGGGACAGAGUCAUAAUUACAUUGGAUUUAUGUCUUACCCCACUUGGGUUAAACCUGUAACUUGACCACUAUACUUUUGUCUGUGUAACUCCCUAUUUGCUUUCUAAUACUACCAAUGUAACUCCUGAUCAAAUAUUGAAUAAGCUUCAGGGCACUUGGCAUUCCAAAAACAUAACAUGGAUGGUAUUGAUCCU